rnacentral:misc_RNA from 1 species
ACAAUAAAAAUGGCGACAUCGUACUACUUGUUUGUCAUUUUACAACUUUUAAGUAUCUUUUCUGUUCUGUCUAAAUAUUCUAUUAAACUCGAAAUGAAAAAUGACUGCAACCAAAAGAAAAAUACUCACGACCAAUAUUUUGAUAUAACUCAUCUUAAAUGUCGUUUCUGUUCCCAAAAUAACUCUAUACAAUCAGUUUCUAAUGAUGGUUUAUCUUGUGUAUGCAAUCCAGGAUACAAAUAUAUCAAAAACAUGGCACCCCGAGCAGUAAAUUGUGUAAAAUGUGGAGCAAACCAGGUCACUUCAAAAGAUGGUUGGAGUUGUGUCUACUGUCACAACGAUACUUUGUCAAGCAACAAUAAAUGUGCAUCGUGUAUAGGCAAGAAUAUAACAGUGGAGAGAAAAUUGGAUGGGGAAUGGAUUAAAAAUUCCCAGGAUCAGGCUGUCCAAAACUGUGUACCAUGUAAAGGAAAUACCAUACCCAAUGGUGCAAAAAACAGGUGUGUCCGGUGUACACAGAUCCUGUCAGUAUUACCAAAUUAUGCAAACUGUACUUGUCCACGUUCAAAUAAGGUUGGAGAUGUUUGUUUCCAAAAGAAAAGUGAUAUCAUAGCAAAGCCAUCUUACUACAUACGAUUGAGUACUGAUGAUUUGGUGGAAUCCCAUCUUCUUAGACAGAACCUCAUCAUUUCAUACGGAAUGUGUCAUGCCAGUUAUUUUAACAGCACAGCUUGUCAGUCCCUGGGCAACAUGUGUGUUCUGCUUUAUGCUACCCACGUGGUGCGUAAAUUAAGCCCACAAAUCCAGGCGUGCACUCUGUUUCGGAACUUGUCAAAGCUGGCAAAACCACCUGUUAAUGAAGAAUAUGACGUUGGUGAUUGGCCGUACAACAUGCCUUGGCUGUAUUAUUCCUCGUUGACCGUGAAUGUACUGAAUAGUCCUAGUUUACCAGUUGAGUUUACUGUGAAACCACCUACGCAGCUUAAGUUCCUUGUGGUAAUGUAUUCAUUUGAGGGUAAAUAUCUGGGGAUGAAGAGCGUCCGCGGUGGUCUUUUGCAGCUAUGUAAAAUGAACGAUGUGAGGAUGGAUGCAAUUUGGACUUUUGGAACAACAUAUUCAAGCACGUGUUACUUGAAGUUAAGGGAUCUCUUUGACAACCAGACUUAUCCCUUGAUUUUCUAUGAUCUUUAUUUGCGGUACUCUGACAAUGGUGAGGAGAGGCUGUAUGCCAUUCCCAUUGUUAUUGAAAACCAUGUUGGAGAAAAUAACAUCAGAGUCAACAAAGGACAAGUAGACAAAUGGGUUUUAACCAGACGGUUUUUCCUCGUUGACAAUGUGUCUACUCGGAAAUUGGUGAAACCAGGAAAUGUUUAUGUCAAUAACUACGUACGAUUUGCUCAGUACAUGAAGUUUGUCUUCCGACUGCAACCCACGAAAAAUGGCCUCAUUUAUCCUCCAUAUUUGAAAAUUGUGUACGGCGAAAGGUCUUGGGCUUCUGCAGUUGCACUCAGUAAUGUCCCGAUAAUAUUCAAAUCUGAAUAUCUACAAGAUGAAACUGGUAUUGAAAACAGCAUCAAUAUAGCUUUUGGAACAUUGAGUGUCUUUGCAAUAAUCUACGCUGGUUUUAAUACAUGGGCAUGGUCAAAGAGAUCGGCACGCAUUUCUAUAGACUUUGCCACAUUGGUUAACCUGUUUCUUAACAUGUGUGCUUCACUUGGUAGUGUCUUCUUCUUUACAAUACUUGGCAUUGGUAUAUAUUUUCUUCUCUUCUUCAAACAACAGAACACAGUGAUAGUUCUACCAAUGUCUAGUCCUUUACUGAAAGAAAAGUUUUCUUCAUUUAUCGUAGUCACGUUUUGCUUGAAGUUUUUCCACAUGAUUCAACUACUUGUUCGGCAGUGUACUGUGGACAUGUUUUUCAUUGACUGGGAAAAACCAAAAAGUCACCAGAAAGAGUCCACUGUGUCUGCUUGGAGAGUCUUAUUUGUUGCCAAUGAAUGGGUCGAAAUUCAAACCUCCCGACGUAUUAACAUUGUUUUUCAGCUUUUAUCAUUGUUGUUCCUGCUCAUAGUUGUCGGCUUUGAGAAUUUUGCAUUCAAUGAUGCCAGUUCUAGCUUCACAGCCCCUGACACUGGUAACGUGGUUCCACAAAACCGAGUUUUCAGAUUUACUCUUUCGACCACCUUGUAUCUUUUGAUUGCUACUUGCCAGUGGCUGUACAAAGUUAUAUUCUAUGAGAGGUUUAUUGAAGACAUCAUGCAGCAGUUUAUUGAUCUGUGCUCUUUGAGUAACAUCAGCGUCUUCAUGAUGGAUCAUCUGCUACAUGGAUACUAUAUCCAUGGGCGAUCUGUGCAUGGCAAAGCAGAUACAAACUUUCGAGGCAUUCAGAAGAUGAUGUCUCGCGAACAGAAUGAUCUUUGCAGUGAGCGAGGCUUGCUCCCCAAUACUGAACAGCAAUCCUUUGAAAUGUCAUUACCCAACAAAUUACGAACGUGCUACGUACAGAUUAUGAUGCCAGUAACCUUCAAGCAGGGAGGUAACCGUAUGGAGAAUGGUAACAAUGGUCCCAGUCAUGAUGUUCUUCGUGCCCACGAGAUAAUGAAUAAGUAUUUGUCUUCCUUCAUUGACCACAUAAUGGUCAUUCCUUUGAUCGUCUCCUCUUCUAUGGUCAUGAAAUUCUGUUAGUGCAAUUUGAAAUCCUUCUCUUCAAUGUAGUUGAUCUUAUUUGGCAGAACUUCAUCUUGGCAGCUGCUCUCACUUAUGUUGGAUAUUCACUUAUUUCUCUCAUACGACAAGGAGGAAGCAAGAAAAACAUUGCAAGGAAAACACUUGUAGACAGACGCUUUCUGAUUUAAAUUUUGAAGACUAUUCACAGCCACUUUCAAGGAGGGUGCCUUGUUCAAACUCAAAACAAGUCUGUGGUGGUUGUAUCAGGGACCAGUUCAGUCUCCCAAUCUAGUCCUUGCUCCUCAUGAAUGGAAAUUAAAAAAUUUUUUUAGACAGGGAGCUUCUUAUAAUGUUUUGGUUUGAACUGAAAAAUUUUAACAGGCCACAAUUGCUCUUGUGAUAUUUAAGAAAAGAAAACAAACAAACAAACAUUUCAAACAAAGAGAAAGAUGGACAGGAUUGUGUUGCAAGAUUCUCUGAACUUAAACUGAAUAAGCAUUCUAUAUGUGGUUGGUGAAAGGUUAAAAAUAUUUAUUUACAUGAUGUAACAAACAAUUUAACAAAUUGCAAUUGAAAAACGGUAAAUUAUAUAUGAAUCAAUAUUCACUACUUAGUCAUAGAAUAGCUGAUGGCCACAAGAGGACACUGAUUCACAUUGAAUAUAUGUAUAUAUAUUUUUUAGUUUUUGUUUAUAAUAUAGUUAAGAGAGAGAAGGUGACUUAUACUGAUCUAAGGUUUAAUUUACGUGUCUGUGUGUGUGUGUGUAUGUUGGAGGAGGUUGUUAUACUUGUAUAACAAUUUUCCCUGAAAUGUGAAUGAUAUUUUUAAAAUUUAAAUAUUACAUUUACAAUUAUAUUGUUUAGUUUAGUGCCAAAUCUAUUUAAGAUUCAAAUAUUGGAAAACUUAAGCUUUAAAAGUCUUGUAUACAAGACAAGACUUAUACAUAUAUCUAAAAAAUCUGAAAGAAAUGAAGUUAUACUGACUUGAGCAUUGAAACAUAACUUUUUUUGCUUCUUAAUAUAAAGAAAAGUGAUGAAAUUGUUCAAUUUAAUUUUUUUAAUUAACCAUUGAUUUAAAAAAAAAAAAGGUAAAUCUUUUGUACUAGUAAGAUGAAAAGUGCCAAUCAUUUUUCCUUUUCUAUAUAUCUAUUCAUAUUUAUUAAUUUAAAUAACCUUAUUUUUGUAAAAAGAAAAAGGAUAAGUUCUGCCGUCUUUUGCAUAGAUUUAUGGGUAUGCUUCUAAGGAAAAAAAAAUUCAAGUUUGAAAGAAUUUUUUUUAUUACUGGGAAAAUAAUGGUAAGAAUUAACUAAAAUUUUAAGCCUUGUUCUUCAUAGCCAUUCUAUGUAAUUGUCCAUUUUAUGUGUAGUCUUUUCUCAUUCACAUACAUGCUGGUAAGGACAACACCGUUGUUGACAACAAAAUGAAACUAAAACCAUGCAUUUUGUUCUGUCAUUUUUCCAAGAUUAACUUAACUUGAGGAAAUUAAUUUCAAUUUCACUAGUUUCUUUUCUACAACUAUUGGUGUAGGAAGUAAAAAAAAAAAAGUUUUGUGGUGCAUGUACUUAAAUAGACCCAUCUUUUGUAAAUCAGUGAAGCAGAUUUAUUCUCUCUUGUGAUCAAACACAGCUAUUUUUUUUUUAAUAAAUAAAACUAAAAGACAAUUUAAAAUUUCACCACAAAUCUUUAUCACUGGGUAGCUUCUUGGUACUAGGUUUAUUCUCUCUCUUACAGAUCCUUAUUGUUUUAACAAUAGAGCAAGUCUCACCCGGAGGCAUCCCUGAAAUAUGGAAAAGGAUAAAAAAAAAAAAACAUGCCCCUCACUCCAUUUGCAAAUCUGAAAACUCAAUUCAGAUUAUUUUUUUUCCCCCUUUUUUUUAAUUCAUUCUGUACAUUCUUUUUAUAAAGUUCCAUGUUCAAAUUGUUUCAGAUUUGUUUUGUUUUAUUUAUUUUUUGCAAUAUAUUUUUGGCUAGGAUAAGAAAUACGGAAACCAAGUCCAGUCUUUAAGGAAUCGAAUCAGUAAAACUUAAUUCUUUCAGACUUUAUUGUAUUACUAAUUAACUGCCAACCCUGACCAAUAUGGUCUCUUUUGGGCAGAUAUUCAUACAGACUUGGUUUUUUAUUAAUUUUUUUUUUGUUGUUUGUCCCUUCUCCCACUCAUGUAAUAAUUGUUCAGAGGCCCUUAACUUUUAUAUAUAUUUAUUUAUAACAAACAAACUCUCCAAGCAAAGCUCCGUUCACUGAUAAAAUUUCAGUCACUAUUUCCAACAGCUCUUAUUUUUUAUAUAAAAGAAAGGUAAUUUUAAACUGACAAAAUUUUUUUUUUUUAAAUUUCUUUUUUUUUCUUUUUUUUUCAAACAAGUGUGACUUGUGUGGGUAUUUUACAUCAGAAAUAUCUGAAAUGCGAAAUCAUACAUAAUCUAAAAGUAACUCACCAAUAGACUAGGUAUCGAAAGUUUAGAAUCUUAUCUGAUGUUGUGUACCCCUUUUAAGUCCUAACCCCUCUCCACUGAAUUUGACUGACAAUAAAUAUACUGCUACAAAAAUCUGAAAGUCUAAAAAAAUAUAUUUAGCAGUUUAUCUAUUCUUUCCAAUGAUAUCAUGGGUUGGAUAGUUCUACAAUAUAUAUAUAAAUAGUUGAAUACAUUAUUUCAGACUAAGAGUGGUGGUAAAUGCCUAAAGCUUAAAGGGUAAUGAAAACUUUGUCAGAUAUUGGAUUAAUUCCGGAAGCCAGAAUUUAUACAAUGUAUAAAUAAUAAUUCAGAUGUUGGCACAAGGAAGGGAGCAAGUUGAUUACACUGACCCCAGUACAAGGUGACUUUAGUGGUAUUAGAACUUAGAAUCUAAAGAGUUGGAAGAAAUGCCACUGAGCAUUUUUUCCAAUGUACUAACGAUUCUGAUGGCUUGCCACCUUAAUAACAACAUAACAACAUGCUUAACAGAUGAAUUAUUAAUUACUUAACAUUUUGUAAAGACAAAACAAAACAAAAAAACUGCUGCCACUACAUUCCCUGAAUCCCACCAACAACCGAUUCUAAUUCGCUAUGAAUAACCAAAUGUUAUUUUGAUGUUGCCCAAAUAUAUUUGUCCUUCACUGUUUUAUGGAGAACUUCAGAAAAUAAAAACUCCUUCUGUAAUCUAUAAACUGAAAUAUUUCAAAUGUUCUCCAGAAUUCAACUUCCAAAAGUUUGUUUUUAAUAUAGUAUGGUAAGAUUCAUGUAACAUGAUUCAAAUGCAAAGAACAGUUUCUAAGGUUAUUUGCAUAAUAAAAGGCUUCUAAAUACCUCCUCCACAACUGUUACAUAAAUACAUUUCAAUCAUUGGAUAAAAUUUAUAUAUU